rnacentral:rRNA from 1 species
UGUUCGGAAUUACUGGGCGUAAAGCGCGCGUAGGCGGUCUGUUAAGUCGGAUGUGAAAUCCCCGGGCUCAACCUGGGAACUGCCUUUGAUACUGACAGACUAGAGUUCGGGAGAGGGGGGUGGAAUUCCCAGUGUAGAGGUGAAAUUCGUAGAUAUUCGGAGGAACACCAGUGGCGAAGGCGGCUCACUGGCUCGAUACUGACGCUGAGGUGCGAAAGUGUGGGGAGCAAACAGGAUUAGAUACCCUGGUAGUCCACACCGUAAACGAUGAAUGCUAGCCGUUGGGUAGUUUGCUGUUUGGUGGCCCACCUAAAGGAUUAAGCUUUCCCCCCGGGGAGUACGGUCCCCAGAUUAAAACUCAAAGGAAAUUGACGG